GGCUGCAGGUCCCGAGCCCUGCCGCGCGGGAGGCGGCUGAGGCCCCGUGAGAAUUCGAGCGCCGCAGGGGCAGGCUGGCAGUGCUGGGGGACCCGGUGCACUCUCCGCAGCUGCUGGCUCGGGUGCUAAGCCCCUCACUGCCUCGGGCCAGCGGUGCCGACCCGCCGCUCCAAGUGCGGGGCGGGCGGAGCCCGCGCCCACCUGGAACUCGCGCGGGCCCGCCAGCGCCAACCGCAGCCGCGGUUCCCGCCCGCGCCUCUCCCUCCACACCUCCCCGCAAGCAGAGGGAGCCGGCUCCGGCCUUGGCCAGCCCAGAGACAGGCUCCCACAGUGCAGCGGCGGGCUGAAGGGCUCCUCAAGCACUGCCAGAGUGGACACCGAGGCCGAGGAGACGCCAAGAGCGAAAAUUUUUGUUUUCCAUGACUGCAAGAAAUACUGCUGAACAAGACAUUUCUUCAUCAUCCUUGAUGAAAGAUGAACAUUAAUAAUGCAGAUAGAAAUCAGGCCAAGUAAUGUUGAAGAGAAAACAAGGUCCAGUAGCACUACUUCCUUUUAGAAGAUAAGAAUAAACAGAUUUAAAAUGGCAAGCUCAAUAAUUUUACCCUAACAAAAAAUGAGUGAAACAAGCUUCUGGUUCAAGAGUUUCUUCAGGUUCCACUACGGGCUGUUCUUCUACAGGUGCGCCGAUGUCCACAGUGCUACCUUCUGAUGAGCUACUGCUUUCAUUCAGUUUCUGCUGACUUAAUAUGUGAGCUGACAGAAUGCAGAGACCACGUUGUAUAUGAAGCAUCCACUUUGCCUUGUACACCAGGGCAUUCAAUAACCACUUAAUAACUACAACCCUGAUGAUCCGAUUCACUACUAAAGUCUUCCGUGUUUAAAUUUUCAAAGUCAGAUUCUCCUACAGCAAUUGGUACAGUCACAGUAAGACUGGGGUUGUUUAUGAAUGACAUGUAAUCACUUUCAUCAAUAAUGUAUUUUUCAACACUGCUGCCAGUUCCUAUACCACUUGUAGUUCCAUUUACAUCUUUAAGAUAGUCAAGAUCUUUCCCAAUUUCUGCUGUAUGAUUGGACAUACAACUGUCUUUCUUGUUGUUUAGAUCAUCAAGUGGUUUAAUUUCAUCUAAAAUCUUUUGUUUCCUAAUGAAGGACUGUUGAAUAAAUUCAUAUAUUUUUCUUUUCACAUAAGCUACUCCUUUGUGCAUCCUAUCCACAGCAAUUUGGAGAUUAUUCAUUUCAUUAUCA
rnacentral:lncRNA from 1 species